GUGACUGCGUACCUUUUGUAUAAUGGGUCAGCGACUUAUAUUCUGUAGCAAGGUUAACCGAAUAGGGGAGCCGAAGGGAAACCGAGUCUUAACUGGGCGUUAAGUUGCAGGGUAUAGACCCGAAACCCGGUGAUCUAGCCAUGGGCAGGUUGAAGGUUGGGUAACACUAACUGGAGGACCGAACCGACUAAUGUUGAAAAAUUAGCGGAUGACUUGUGGCUGGGGGUGAAAGGCCAAUCAAACCGGGAGAUAGCUGGUUCUCCCCGAAAGCUAUUUAGGUAGCGCCUCGUGAAUUCAUCUCCGGGGGUAGAGCACUGUUUCGGCAAGGGGGUCAUCCCGACUUACCAACCCGAUGCAAACUGCGAAUACCGGAGAAUGUUAUCACGGGAGACACACGGCGGGUGCUAACGUCCGUCGUGAAGAGGGAAACAACCCAGACCGCCAGCUAAGGUCCCAAAGUCAUGGUUAAGUGGGAAACGAUGUGGGAAGGCCCAGACAGCCAGGAUGUUGGCUUAGAAGCAGCCAUCAUUUAAAGAAAGCGUAAUAGCUCACUGGUCGAGUCGGCCUGCGCGGAAGAUGUAACGGGGCUAAACCAUGCAC
rnacentral:rRNA from 1 species